rnacentral:rRNA from 1 species
GUCUACGGUCAUGCCACCCUGAACAAGCCCGAUAUCUGAUCUUGGAAGCUAAGCAGGGUCAGGCCUGGUUAGUACUUGGAUGGGAGACCACCUAGGAAGACCAGGUGCUAUAGGCA